AUGCGGGAGGGGCAGCAGCCGGCCGGGCCUGGGAACGUGGCUGGUUGGAGGAGGUGGAUCACCGUUUCUGCGGUGGACGAUUUCGUCGGUGGCUGCUACCAUGAGGUUGAAUCAGAACACCUUGCUGCUGGGGAAGAAGGUGGUCCUUGUACCCUACACCUCGGAGCAUGUGCCCAGCAGGUACCACGAGUGGAUGAAAUCAGAGGAGCUGCAGCGUUUGACAGCCUCAGAGCCGCUGACCCUGGAGCAGGAGUAUGCCAUGCAGCGCAGCUGGCGGGAAGAUGCAGACAAGUGUACCUUCAUUGUGCUGGAUGCCGAGAAGUGGCAGGCCCAGCCAGGCACCACUGAAGAGAGCUGCAUGGUGGGAGAUGUGAACCUCUUCCUCACGGAUCUAGAAGACCCCACCUUGGGGGAGAUCGAGGUCAUGAUUGCAGAAUGGUAAUGAUAGUAGCAACUUCAGUUGUUGAGAAUUAAAUGAGAUGGUGUCUGUCAAGUGCCCACACUGGAGCCUGGCACAUGGCGUCAGUACCGCUCCUGUUGUCUCUCCUAGAGC
rnacentral:sRNA from 1 species